rnacentral:rRNA from 1 species
AUUGAACGCUGGCGGCAUGCUUUACACAUGCAAGUCGAACGGUAACAGGCCGCAAGGUCUGACGAGUGGCGAACGGGUGAGUAAUGCAUCGGAACGUGCCCAGUCGUGGGGGAUAACGCGGCGAAAGCUGCGCUAAUACCGCAUACGAUCUAUGGAUGAAAGCGGGGGACCGUAAGGCCUCGCGCGAUUGGAGCGGCCGAUGUCAGAUUAGGUAGUUGGUGGGGUAAAGGCUCACCAAGCCAACGAUCUGUAGCUGGUCUGAGAGGACGACCAGCCACACUGGGACUGAGACACGGCCCAGACUCCUACGGGAGGCAGCAGUGGGGAAUUUUGGACAAUGGACGCAAGUCUGAUUCAGCCAUGCCGCGUGUGUGAAGAAGGCCUUCGGGUUGUAAAGCACUUUUGUCCGGAAAGAAAUGGCUCUGGUUAAUACCUGGGUCGAUGACGGUACCGGAAGAAUAAGGACCGGCUAACUACGUGCCAGCAGCCGCCGUAAUAC